UCUUCCGACCACCCAAACCCUCACCGUCUCUCUCUCUCUCUGUUUUUCCUCUCCAAUCACAUCUCACAUACCCUAAUCCCCGCUCUACCUAUACAUAACACAUAUGUAUUCACCCCGUGAUUUACAUCUCUGGAAUUUCUCACUCUGAUAUUUCUGUAUCGCCAGUCACCGUCUGUAGUGAUGGCGGAAAGUAAGCUAGAUCUUCCAGAGGAUCUCAUCGAUUCGAGGCCGUCCGAUCAAUCAUGGAUUUCGAAAGGAGUAUUAUUUUUGGGCACUGAAGACUCCACUGGAAAUGAUGAGGACAAAGGGUUGGUGGGAUUACUGGAUGAGGCAAAGGACCAAGUAGCUUCUGAGAGCAUUCCGUUGUCUCCACAGUGGUUGUAAGCAAAGCCAAAUGAACUAAAAAUGGUAUAUCUACUACUCUAUACCUGCACGCCAGCCUGAUAGCAUUUGUCACUUAGAUUUCUGAAGUUAACUUAUUGAUGAAUUGUGUUAGAUUUUGUUAUUCAUGUUUUACUUUGUACAUUAAUGUUACUUUUAUAAUGGUGAGUUUUAUUUUUCUUAUAGG